rnacentral:rRNA from 1 species
CCUACGGGUGGCAGCAGUGAGGAAUAUUGGUCAAUGGCCGUAAGGCUGAACCAGCCAAGUAGCGUGCGGGAUGACUGCCCUAUGGGUUGUAAACCUCUUUUAUACGGGGAUAACACCCUCCACGUGUGGAGGUCUGCAGGUACCGCGUGAAUAAGGGCCGGCUAAUUCCGUGCCAGCAGCCGCGGUAAUACGGAAGGCCCGGGCGUUAUCCGGAUUCAUUGGGCUUAAAGGGAGCGUAGGCGGGUGUUAAAGCGUGCUGUAAAAUUGUGUGGCUCAACCGGGCGGCGCGGUGGAGACUGGGGGCCUUGAGUGCACGGAAGGCAGGCGGAAGUCGUGGUGUAGCGGUGAAAUGCAUAGAUAUCACGAGGAACCCCGAUUGCGAAGGCAGCCUGCCGGGGUGCGACUGACGCUGAGGCUCGAAGGUGCGGGUAUCGAACAGGAUUAGAUACCCUUGUAGUC